AUCUACAGCCAUGCCACCCUGAACAAGCCCCAUGUCUGAUCUCGGAAGCUAAGCAGGGUCGGGCCUGCGUAGUACUUGGAUGGAAGACCACCUAAGAAGACCAGGUGCUGUAGGCA
rnacentral:rRNA from 1 species